CACCCGCCACCCACUCGCACAAAAUCAUACCCCAACCAUUCGCUGAACUUGGCAGAAUCCCAUAACAUCCAAACUGGACCCCACCAAACGCCCACCACCGAACUAAGGAAAAGAAAGAAAUUCCCUCUCCUCUCCUUUACUUUCCUCGCCUUUACUUUCCUCGAGUGAAUUCCAUUCAGUUCCAAGCUAAACCAAAAAUCCAUGCCAGAAAAUCAUUUCCAUUUCUAGCAACUGCAAAGUCUCUUCCAUGUUCAAAUACUCAGACUUCAAGUUCAAGUACAGUAACUGAUAAUCGAGGGUUUGGAAUGGAUAGUUGGUGUGGAGGAGAGGCAACAAUUAAGAGCCGGGCUAAACAAACUGAAGAGAGUUAUCAGUUACAGCUUGCUCUUGCUUUGAGGUUAUCUUCACAGGCUGCUUCAGCUAAUGAUCCCUAUUUCUUGGAUUUCAGUUCUAGUGACAAUACUAAAAGAGGACUUCCUCCUUAUUCUCCCGAGUCUCUUUCUCAUCGAUUCUGGGUGAGUGGAAGUUUGUCAUACUUCGAUAGAAUUCCAGAUGGGUUUUAUGUGAUACAUGGAUUGGAUCCUUAUACAUGGAGCAUAAGUGCUGAUAGUCGUGUCCCAUCUUUUGAAUCAUUAAAGGCUGUUAAUGAUUUGUCAAUAGGAGUGGUUUUGAUUGAUAGAUUCAGGGAUCCUGGUUUGAAGGAGGUACAUAAUAGAGUUACUGGUCUUUCGAGCAGCUUGAGUACAACCGAAGAUGUGGUUAAACACCUUGCGAUUGUUGUUUGUAAUCUUAUGGGGGGUGUAGUCCUCAAUGAAGAUGAUAAUGCCUUUGCCGAAUGCUGGAAGGAAUGUACUGAAGUGAUGAAAAGGCGCUUCCGUUCUGUUGUGCUUCCAAUUGGAAGCUUAUCCAUUGGCCUUUGUGUUCAUCGUGCAUUGCUGUUUAAAGUAUUAGCAGACUCGAUUAACUUGCCUUGCAGAAUUGUUAAAGGAUGUAAAUACUGCAGAAGAGAUGUCGUUUCAUCCUGUCUGGUACAAGUUGGUAAUGACAGGGAAUACUUUGUUGAUUUGCUUAGAAAUCCAGGAGCCCUAAGCCAGCCUGAUUCCUCGCUCAAUUGUUCAUCUUCAAUCUUAGUUUCUUCUCCAUUGUCUCAUCCAAGGUUUAAAUCUAAUCAAACAACCGAGGACUUCAGGACAUUGGCCAAACUCUACUUCCUUGACAGCCAGCCACUUAAUCUUGUAUUUGAUAAUUCUUCUUCAGGCCCUACUAUUGAUGAAGAUGACAAAUUUAUUUCAAGGCUCGGUAAAGACAAGAAGAACCUUCUGCCCACUUCAAGCAACAACCGUGACACUUCUCUGUCAAGUUCUGUCCUACCAGUUAGGCAAAAAUAUACAGAUCCUGUCGUCUCUAAUCCCAAGCGUGUUGCUACAAAUAAUUUGUUGUUCAUGGAAUUAAACCAGUCAAUACCAAGUAAAUCAAACAAUCAACUUCAUCUUGAAGAGGAAGAUUUGGAUGUACCCUGGAGUGAACUUCUUUUGAAGAAUAAAAUUGGAUCAGGCUCUUUUGGAACUGUCUAUCAUGCUGACUGGCGUGGUUCGGAUGUUGCUGUCAAAAUUCUUGAGGAGCAAGAAUUUCAUGCAGAGCGCUUUGAGGAAUUUUUGAGUGAGGUUGCUAUCAUGAAACGUUUGCGACAUCCAAAUAUCGUUCUUUUUAUGGGUGCUGUUACCCAGCCCCCAAACUUGUCCAUAGUUAUGGAGUAUUUAUCAAGAGGCAGCUUGCACAAACUUUUACAUAUGAAUGAUGCUGCAUCGAUACUGGAUGAGAGGCGCCGCUUAAAUAUGGCAUAUGAUGUGGCUAAGGGAAUGAACUAUCUUCAUCAGUUUAGACCUCCCAUUGUUCAUCGAGAUUUGAAAUCUCUAAAUCUCUUGGUGGACAGUACAUAUACGGUAAAGAUUUGUGAUUUUGGUCUGUCACGAUCAAAAGCAAAGACAUAUAUUUCAUCAACAAAUGCUGCAGGGAGACCCGAGUGGAUGGCCCCAGAAGUACUCCGUAAUGAGCGAUCAAAUGAGAAAUCAGAUGUUUACAGCUUUGGUGUAAUCUUGUGGGAACUUAUGACCCUGCAACAGCCCUGGAGAAACUUAAAACAAGCACAGAUCAUUGAAGCUGUUGGUUUUAUGGGCCAAAGGCUUGAGAUUCCAAGCAGUGUAAAUCCUUCAGUGGCUGCCUUGAUUGAUGUCUGCUUGGAUAAUGAGCCCUCUAAACGUCCCCCAUUCUCCUAUAUCAUGGAAACUUUACAGGAACUGAUAAAUAACUCUAUCUCCCAUCCAGUUGCCGCUCAAGUUCGAUGACAAAUCUAUAGGAGGGGAACCCCGGGUAAAAUCUUUAUUCAUAACAAUGUGCCAUAGAUCUGAUGCUCAUCUGGUGCAUAUUUCAGGAUUCUUGCUGCACAUAGUUUUUUCCUUUGCAGAUAGAGGAAUGGUAAAGCUGCUUGCAUGGAUUUCAUUCUUCUCAUUGACAUGAUACUUUCUGGGCUUCCACGAGUUGUUGAUUGUCCUUUCUGUAUCUGCCAUGAUCUAAUCCUUGUUGCUACAAUUGUAAAUACGCGGGAAGUUGUCAGGGUAUCGAUACCAAGCAACAUUGGUGGAAAUGCCACCAUGUGUUAGCAACUUUUAUAUGGGAAGAAGUUGAGGGCGGCUGGUUCAUGUUACUAGUUACGCUGAUGUGCCCAUCAUUUGCUUAAUUGCUUCACUCUGUUGUCCUCAUAUUAUCAGUCAGGGUGGCUUAUGAAUUAUGAUUGCAAUUUUUCAGCGUGAGAUUUUUGGCUGCUCAGCUGUUUGGUUUGCGAGGUAGAGAGAGAGGCUUGCUAUUUAUCAUCCCCUUGCAUUGAAUUUUGGGAACCUUCUAAUCAUACAUGUAAAUUCUUCUGAGCAGGUUAAAUCUUUAACAAGCACUAAAGCUGUAGAGCCCAAGAGUCUGGUAGAGCUUUCAUUUUGGUACAAAAUACAGUCUAGUUCUUCCGCUUUAAGCAUCGUCACAGUUUAGUCCUUUAUAAAGUUCAUUCAGUUCUAUUUUUA